rnacentral:rRNA from 1 species
UACGGAGGAUGCGAGCGUUAUCCGGAUUUACUGGGUGUAAAGGGAGCGUAGACGGAAUUGCAAGUCUGAUGUGAAAAUCCGGGGCCCAACCCCGGAACCGCAUUGGAAACUGUAUUUCUAGAGUGUCGGAGAGGCAAGUGGAAUUCCUGGUGUAGCGGUGAAAUGCGUAGAUAUCAGGAGGAACACCAGUGGCGAAGGCGGCUUGCUGGACGAUGACUGACGUUGAGGCUCGAAAGCGUGGGGAGCAAACAGG